UCACUCUAGCGAGACUGCCGGUAAUAAACCGGAGGAAGGUGGGGAUGACGUCAAAUCAUCAUGCCCCUUAUGACCUGGGCUACACACGUGCUACAAUGGUUGGUACAACGAGUCGCGAGUCGGUGACGGCAAGCAAAUCUCUUAAAGCCAAUCUCAGUUCGGAUUGUAGGCUGCAACUCGCCUACAUGAAGUCGGAAUCGCUAGUAAUCGCGGAUCAGCACGCCGCGGUGAAUACGUUCCCGGGCCUUGUACACACCGCCCGUCACACCACGAGAGUUUGUAACACCCGAAGUCGGUGAGGUAACCUUUUAGGAGCCAGCCGCCUAAGGUGGGAUAGAUGAUUGGGGUGAAGUCGUAACAAGGUAACCGUAA
rnacentral:rRNA from 1 species